UACGAAGGGGGCUAGCGUUGCUCGGAAUUACUGGGCGUAAAGGGCGCGUAGGCGGCCUACUAAGUCAGACGUGAAAUCCCCAGGCUUAACUUGGGAACUGCGUCUGAUACUGGAAGGCUUGAGUGCGGGAGAGGGAUGUGGAAUUCCAGGUGUAGCGGUGAAAUGCGUAGAUAUCUGGAGGAACACCGGUGGCGAAGGCGGCAUCCUGGACCGACACUGACGCUGAGGCGCGAAAGCUAGGGGAGCAAACGGG
rnacentral:rRNA from 1 species